GCUCACUUCGGCAGCACGUAUACCAAAAUUUGAAAGAUAGAGAAAAAUUAGCAUGAUCCCUACACAAGGAUGACAGGUAAAUUCGUGAAACUUUUCAUGUUCCA